UACGAAGGGGGCUAGCGUUGUUCGGAAUUACUGGGCGUAAAGCGCACGUAGGCGGACUAUUAAGUCAGGGGUGAAAUCCCGGGGCUCAACCCCGGAACUGCCUUUGAUACUGGUAGUCUCGAGUCCGGAAGAGGUGAGUGGAAUUCCGAGUGUAGAGGUGAAAUUCGUAGAUAUUCGGAGGAACACCAGUGGCGAAGGCGGCUCACUGGUCCGGUACUGACGCUGAGGAGCGAAAGCCAGGGGAGCAAACGGG
rnacentral:rRNA from 1 species